CCUACGGGAGACAGCAGUGAGGAAUAUUGGUCAAUGGACGAGAGUCUGAACCAGCCAAGUAGCGUGAAGGAUGAAUGUUCUAUGGGUUGUAAACUUCUUUUAUAAAGGAAUAAAACGAGGCACGUGUGCCGUUUUGCAUGUACUUUAUGAAUAAAGAUCGGCUAACUCCGUGCCAGCAGCCGCGGUAAUACGGAGGAUCCGAGCGUUAUCCGGAUUUAUUGGGUUGAAAGGGAGCGUAGAUGGGUUGUUAAGUCAGUUGUGAAAGUUUGCGGCUCAACCGUAAAAUUGCAAUUGAUACUGGCAGUCUUGAGUACAGUUGAGGUAGGCGGAAUUCGUGGUGUAGCGGUGAAAUGCUUAGAUAUCACGAAGAACCCCGAUUGCGAAGGCAGCUUACUAAGCUGUGACUGACAUUGAUGCUCGAAAGUGUGGGUAUCAAACAGGAUUAGAUACCCCAGUAGUC
rnacentral:rRNA from 1 species